UUUCCGUAGGUGAACCUGCGGAAGGAUCAUUAUUGUAUAACCGAGGUGCGAGGGCUGUCGCUGACCCGAAAGGUCGUGCACGCCCGAGGGCCCUCACACACAUCCAUCUCACCCCUAUGUGCACCACCGCGUGGGUCCCCCUUUGGCUUGUUCGGAGGGGGGCUUACGUUUUCACACAAACUUUGUAUGCAGUGUAGAAUGUAUUUUUUGUUUUUGCGAUCACGCAAUCAAUACAACUUUCAACAACGGAUCUCUUGGCUCUC
rnacentral:misc_RNA from 1 species